rnacentral:sRNA from 1 species
UGAUACUACACACUUGUAUCUUCGCGC